GUGGGGAAUAUUGGGCAAUGGGCGCAAGCCUGACCCAGCAACGCCGCGUGAAGGAAGAAGGCUUUCGGGUUGUAAACUUCUUUUACCAGGGACGAAAAAAAUGACGGUACCUGGAGAAUAAGCCACGGCUAACUACGUGCCAGCAGCCGCGGUAAUACGUAGGUGGCAAGCGUUGUCCGGAUUUACUGGGUGUAAAGGGCGCGUAGGCGGGAGAGCAAGUCAGGAGUGAAAUCUAUGGGCUUAACCCAUAAAUUGCUUUUGAAACUGUUUUUCUUGAGUGAUGGAGAGGCAAGCGGAAUUCCUAGUGUAGCGGUGAAAUGCGUAGAUAUUAGGAGGAACACCAGUGGCGAAGGCGGCUUUCUGGACUGUAACUGACACUGAGGCACGAAAGCGUGGGGAGCAAACAGGAUUAGAAACCCUGGUAGUCC
rnacentral:rRNA from 1 species